rnacentral:rRNA from 1 species
UACGUAGGGCGCAAGCGUUGUCCGGAAUUAUUGGGCGUAAAGAGCUCGUAGGCGGUUUGUCGCGUCUGUUGUGAAAGCCCGGGGCUUAACCCCGGGUCUGCAGUGGAUACGGGCAGGCUAGAGGCAGGUAGGGGAGAACGGGAAUUCCCGGUGUAGCGGUGAAAUGCGCAGAUAUCGGGAGGAACACCGGUGGCGAAGGCGGUUCUCUGGGCCUGUACUGACGCUGAGGAGCGAAAGCGUGGGGAGCGAACAGG